rnacentral:rRNA from 1 species
AUUGAACGCUGGCGGCAGGCCUAACACAUGCAAGUCGAGCGGAAACGAAGAGUAGCUUGCUACUCUGGCGUCGAGCGGCGGACGGGUGAGUAAUGCUUGGGAAUAUGCCCUUCUCUAAGGAAUAGCCUCUGGAAACGGAGAGUAAUACCUUAUACGCCCGUUUGGGGGAAAGAUUUAUCGGAGAAGGAUUAGCCCGCGUUAGAUUAGGUAGUUGGUGGGGUAAUGGCCUACCAAGCCUACGAUCUAUAGCUGGUUUGAGAGGAUGAUCAGCCACACUGGGACUGAGACACGGCCCAG